rnacentral:rRNA from 1 species
AGUGAACGCUGGCGGUAGGCCUAACACAUGCAAGUCGAACGGCAGCACAGUAAGAGCUUGCUCUUACGGGUGGCGAGUGGCGGACGGGUGAGGAAUACAUCGGAAUCUACUUUUUCGUGGGGGAUAACGUAGGGAAACUUACGCUAAUACCGCAUACGAUCUACGGGUGAAAGCAGGGGAUCUUCGGAGCUUGCGCGAUUGAAUGAGCCGAUGUUGGAUUAGCUAGUUGGCGGGGUAAAGGCCAACGAAGGCGCCGAUCCGUAGCUGGUCUGAGAGGAUGAUCAGCCACACGGGAGCUGAGACACGGUCCAGGGUCCUACGGGAGGCAGCAGUGGGGAAUAUGGGACAGUGGGGGGGAGCCUGAGCCAACGGGAGCGCGUGGGUGAAGGAGGCCUCCGGGGUGUAAAGCCCGUUUGUUGGGAAAGAAAAGCAGCAGGUUGAUGCCACGCGUGUCUGACGGUACGGGAAGAAGAAGCACCGGCUAACUACGUG